GGGCAGAGUAGAGGAGGAUGAGGACCUCUCCCCACCUCCUGAGCACCCCCAAGAGGAGGAAGGCUGUGCUGCUCUCCUUCCUCACCUUGCUGCCUCUUGGGAUGCUGCGAGCUGUGGAGCUGUUUGGAAGGUACCUGCUGGAGCAGCAGCGCACAGACCUGAUGCCGACCUGCCUAUAGGUGGUGUCACAUGAGGUGCCUGAGGAGGACAAGCAGUGGGUCUCCUUGCUGAAUGCAGGGGGGGAGGACCCCAUUUGUCCCCUUUCCUGCCAUGUCCCACACUUUGUCAUCUUGUGCAAUAGGCAGGGAGAUGAAGUGAUGCCUGCUGUUUGGCAGAAGCUACUUGAGGGGCCAGUCCUCAUGACAUGCUGCUAUCCCCACUCUGUUGCUGUGAUGAUACUGUUCAUCUGCCCCAUGAGACAGAACUACCAAUCACACAGCCUCCCAAAAACCCCACAGAGCCCCCUCCAGGGCCCCUCAGUGCCCUGUCUGUGCCUGUAGAUCCUUGAUGGAGAGGGGGGAGGAGAUUUUCAGCAUGCCUUGGAUGACAAAGAAGCUCCUCAAUGAGAUUUGCCUGCUGCUGCAAAACAAUACCAUACGUGCGCACUUUGGGAUGACCGAGGACUACGAAAUCCUCCAGCUCAGCCUCAUGCAGACCCUGAGCCCCGAGGACCCCAUCCCCGCCGUGCUACAGGACGUGGAGUGCCUGAAGAGAUGCAUCAGGAACACCAACUUCCACCUGCUCUGGAUCGCACUCAAAGGGCUGGUGGCGAUGCUGGGGAGGCCCAAGAUGGGGCCAACGGGGAUUAUCCUGCUGCCUGACGUCCUGAAAACCCUGCGGUUCGGCAACCCCCACAUCACGGCGGCGGCGCUGGCGGUGUGCUGCAGGGUCCUGCGCGCCCUGAUGAACAAGUCGGCCAGCAUCACUUCCCUGUGGCUGGUCGAUCUGCUCACGCCUUACUUGGACAACGUAAGGGGGGGGGGGGCGAGGCUCCUGCGGCACCCACCCCGUGCCACGGCUGGGCGGGCGAGGAUCACUCAGCCUCCGUCCUCCUCUUCCUCUUCCAGGAGGCCGACAUGGUGCGGGAGAA
rnacentral:lncRNA from 1 species